rnacentral:pre_miRNA from 1 species
GCAAUACUCCCUCCGUCCCAAAAUUCUUGUCUUAGAUUUGUCUAGAUACGGAUGUAUCAAGUCACGUUUUAGUAUUAGAUACAUCCAUAUCUAGACAAAUGUAAGACAAGAAUUUUGGGACGGAGGGAGUACAAA